rnacentral:rRNA from 1 species
UACAGAGGGGGCAAGCGUUGUUCGGAAUUACUGGGCGUAAAGGGCGCGUAGGCGGCCUGCUAAGUCGAACGUGAAAUCCCCGGGCUCAACCCGGGAACUGCGUCCGAUACUGGCAGGCUUGAAUCCGGGAGAGGGAUGUGGAAUUCCAGGUGUAGCGGUGAAAUGCGUAGAUAUCUGGAGGAACACCGGUGGCGAAGGCGGCAUCCUGGACCGGCAUUGACGCUGAGGAGCGAAAGCUAGGGGAGCAAACGGG